rnacentral:rRNA from 1 species
CCUACGGGGGGCAGCAGUGGGGAAUAUUGGACAAUGGGCGAAAGCCUGAUCCAGCCAUGCCGCGUGUGUGAAGAAGGCCUUCGGGUUGUAAAGCACUUUCAGUGGGGAAGAAAGCCUUGGGGCUAAUACCCUCGAGGAAGGACAUCACCCACAGAAGAAGCACCGGCUAACUCCGUGCCAGCAGCCGCGGUAAUACGGAGGGUGCGAGCGUUAAUCGGAAUUACUGGGCGUAAAGCGCGCGUAGGCGGUCUGAUAAGCCGGUUGUGAAAGCCCCGGGCUCAACCUGGGAACGGCAUCCGGAACCGUCAGGCUAGAGUGCAGGAGAGGAAGGUAGAAUUCCCGGUGUAGCGGUGAAAUGCGUAGAGAUCGGGAGGAAUACCAGUGGCGAAGGCGGCCUUCUGGACUGACACUGACGCUGAGGUGCGAAAGCGUGGGUAGCAAACAGGAUUAGAUACCCCUGUAGUC